rnacentral:rRNA from 1 species
GAUGAACGCCGGCGGCGUGCCUAAUACAUGCAAGUCGAGCGAACGGACGAGAAGCUUGCUUCUCUGAUGUUAGCGGCGGACGGGUGAGUAACACGUGGAUAACCUACCUAUAAGACUGGGAUAACUUCGGGAAACCGUAGCUAAUACCGGAUAAUAUUUUGAACCGCAUGGUUCAAAAGUGAAAGGCGGUCUUGCUGUCACUUAUAGAUGGAUCCGCGCUGCAUUAGCUAGUUGGUAAGGUAACGGCUUACCAAGGCAACGAUGCAUAGCCGACCUGAGAGGGUGAUCGGCCACACUGGAACUGAGACACGGUCCAGACUCCUACGGGAGGCAGCAGUAGGGAAUCUUCCGCAAUGGGCGAAAGCCUGACGGAGCAACGCCGCGUGAGUGAUGAAGGUCUUCGGAUCGUAAAACUCUGUUAUUAGGGAAGAACAUAUGUGUAAGUAACUGUGCACAUCUUGACGGUACCUAAUCAGAAAGCCACGGCUAACUACGUG